ensembl:lncRNA
CAGAAAGUUAGUUCACACCUCGGAUUUUGAUGCCAACACAGACGUUAGUCUCAUUAGUUUUCAUUGCAGCCUCGUUAAAAUUAAUGUAUUUAACCUUUAUUUAACUAGGCAAGUCAGUUAUGAACAAACUCUUAUUUACAAUGAUGGCCUACCCCGGACGACACUGGGACAAUUGUGCACGACCCAAUGGGACUCCCAAUCACGGCCGGAUGUGAUACAGCCUGGAUUCGAACCGGGGACUGUUGUGACGCGUCUUGCACUGAUAUGCAGUGCCUUAUUAGACCGCUGCGCCACUCGGGAGUUUGAAUGCCGCGGUUGCCUAAAAUGUGUCCGGAUUGGGGUUCGUCACCGUUAGGUGGUUGUGGUGUACUGUAGGCUCCAUUACCGUUUACAUACUAUUAGUUCAUUUUAGAAUACUGUAAACUAACAGUAUCCUUUCAGUUGAGCGUACUAUAGCUGUUCGCCUGUCUACUGCCCUUCAUUCCAAAACCUGAAGCCCAGGAAAGACCAGGAAAAAGUGUUGGCUUAAGGCUCAGUGGGUGACCGGUAACAAUGAUUCAACCAAGCUGUUCCAGGCCUGGAGUGGCACGCUGGAACUUCCAGAGGCUUGUAGACCUGAAGCAGUGUGAUGUGAUCCAGAUCUGACAUCCCUAUUAGCUCAACCACAGUCCUCACAGCUGAAGUCGUCUGCCCCUGCACCUGCUACACCAGCCACGACAGGUGAUACAGAUCUGCCACCCCCAGCAGUUCAGCUGCAGUCACAGCAGUCCUCUGCUGUGGUAUUUCAUUUACCGGCUGCACCAGUUCCUACUACACUGGCCAUGAAGGGAGAUACUAUUGAGGAGACCCAGAUGGAUACAGAUCUGCCAUGCACUCCACCCAGUGCCUGACAGACUCAUCUCUGAGAAAGCAGAGAUGGGUGGCUGACAAGGAAAAAUAAAACACAACACACACUCUCUCUCUCUGUCAUACACACUCACACACGUUAUCCCCAGUGUAAAUGAGUUGUAUUUACUUGUUUAUUUUAUGUUUGCUCAAUUUGAUUUUAGGAUUUGAGAUAUCUAUUCCUACAUAUCCAUUCUCAAUAUCUACAUAAUUACUCUAAAUAUCUAUCAAAUCAAAGUGUUAUUGAUAUUGUAAAAGACUUGCUUAAUUUGUAUAGUUUGAGGAAAUUCUGUGUGCUUUUUAAAAACAUGCCUCCCUCUCACACACACAUUAGACCCAAUGUAAAUACAUUGUUUAUUUUAUGUAUGCUCCAUUUUGUUUGAGGAUUGUCAAAUCAAAGUUUUUUUUGUCACGUGUG